rnacentral:rRNA from 1 species
UACAGAGUGGCCAAGCGUUGUUCGGAUUCACUGGGCGUAAAGGGGUGCGUAGGUGGUGGGGUAAGUCGGAUGUGAAAGCUACGGACGCUUAACCUCCGAAUUGCAGUUGGAAACUGAACCCUGCCUAGAGGGUCGGAGGGGGACGUGGAAUACUUGGUAGUAGCAGUGAAAUGCGGUAGAAUAUCAAGUGGAACACCAGUUAGGCGAAGGCAGAC